UCUCCGUUGGUGAACCAGCGGAGGGAUCAUUACUGGAAUCGCAAGAUCCCCCAACCCCUGUGAACCUACCGAAACGUUGCCUCGGCGGGCGCCCGGCCCUGCGCCGGGCGCUGAGCCCGCCGGCGGCCCCCCACUCUUGUCUCUGCAGCGUGGGAUCUCAGAGUCCCAGAAAACAAGUAAAAACUUUCAACAACGGAUCUCUUGGCUCUA
rnacentral:misc_RNA from 1 species